AUGGCUCAGGAUGAACGCUAGCUACAGGCUUAACACAUGCAAGGUCGAGGGGCAGCGAGAGGAAAGCUUGCUUCCUGUCGGCGACCGGCGCACGGGUGAGUAACGCGUAUCCAACCUUCCCCAUAGUAGAGGAUAGCCCGGCGAAAGUCGGAUUAAUACUCUAUGUUGUACAACGAGGACAUCUGAAUUGUACCAAAGAUUUAUCGCUAUGGGAUGGGGAUGCGUCUGAUUAGCUUGUUGGCGGGGUAACGGCCCACCAAGGCGACGAUCAGUAGGGGUUCUGAGAGGAAGGUCCCCCACAUUGGUACUGAGACACGGACCAAACUCCUACGGGAGGCAGCAGUGAGGAAUAUUGGUCAAUGGACGAGAGUCUGAACCAGCCAAGUAGCGUGCAGGAUUGACUGCCCUAUGGGUUGUAAACUGCUUUUAUCAGGGAAUAAAGUGAGGCACGUGUGCCUUUUUGUAUGUACCUGAUGAAUAAGGACCGGCUAAUUCCGUGCCAGCCGCAGC
rnacentral:rRNA from 1 species